AAAUGCAGAGGUUUUGAUGGCGGGAAGUGAAGGAUUACGGAAUUUAUCGAGUUCUCCCGAUUCGACUAUUGGAAUUUUCCGAUUUUUCUGCUCAUGUGAACAGUAUUGAUCUUCUGUAUGGGCACCGGAAGUUUCCAGCACAAGCCAUUCACUCCAUUCUUUCUCGAUAUUCCGCGAAAAGGAAAUUUCUUUGAAAAUUUCACUCCUGCUCACCUAGAAGAGUUUUUCGUCGUUAAGUUCUCGAUCUUUUUUGAAUGAAAUAAAUCUGUAAAUUUU